CAAGGAGCGUAGGUACUAUCGGAGGGUGACGUCAUCUGACGUUUUUCACGCCUUUCUGGUGCUUUGUCAAAGAUAGAUGUGCAGCGUUAAUGAACUUUAACUAUUGGCCCAUAUUAUAUGGGAGCUGUCUGGACAAUCAGCCAAUCACAACGGAACACCAAAGGCAAGCGUCAGUCCAAUGAGAAUCUGAGAAGCUAAGGGCGCGCUUUUGCUAGAACUUUUAAACUACCAACCAUCGGAACAAACACAUCCUCUUUAGAAAGUCAAGCCGGAGCUUGACGAAACGCAUAGAGGUCCUUGGUCACCUUCACCCGCCUCAGUUAGAAGAUACUGGCUCAGCUACGGGAAACUCCCUUGCACCUGUCGUGAGAUCCUGAAACUUUCCGGAGAGUGUAGGAAGGAAAUCACAGACUGCUUUAACACCGGAGACAUACACUGAUGCUGGCGAAUCGGACUGUGGUGAUAUGAUUGUGCCUGUUUUUAACUUAUAUCUUGUACGUGCAUUACUAGCACUGGUUUUUAAUUGAAUGUUAAAUUAAAACAUUAUUACCCUUA